rnacentral:pre_miRNA from 1 species
UUUAAUUAUAGUUAUGGAUUUUCGUAUCCAACAUUUGAUCGUUUUUCUUAUUUAAAAAAAUAUAAUUAAUAUUUUUAUUGUUAUUAGAUGACAAAACAUAAAUAAUACUUUAUGCAUGACUUAUUUUUUUCUAAAUUUUCAUAAAUUUUUCAAAUAAGACGGAUAAUGAGAUGAAUGGAGUAAGACUGUGAGAGCGAGCAAA